GGUUGACCUCGGAUCAGGUAGGAAUACCCGUGAACUAACC
rnacentral:rRNA from 1 species